rnacentral:tRNA from 1 species
UCCCUGGCAGUCCAGUGGUUAGGACUCUGCACUGCCACCGCAGGGGCACAGGUUCAAUCCUUGGUCGGGGAA